CGCGGGGCCAUCGCGGCGCUCCGCGAAGUUCCGCGGGGCCCGGGGAAGUUUGGGCUCGGCUCGGCCCCGGCCAUGGCCUUCCGCCGGCGGGCCAAGAGCCACCCGCUCUUCAGCCAGGAGUUCCUCAUCCACAAUCACGCCGACAUCGGCUUCUGCCUGGUGCUCAGCGUCCUCAUCGCCCUCAUGUUCGAGGUCACAGCCAAGACUGCCUUCCUGUUCAUCUUACCUCAGUAUAAUGUUAGUGUGCCUACAGCAGAUGGGGAGCUGGUCCAGUAUCACUAUGGGCUGAAGGAUCUGGUCACCAUCCUCUUCUACAUCUUCAUCGCCAUCAUCCUGCAUGCAGUGGUGCAGGAAUACGCCCUGGAUAAAAUCAACAGGCGUCUGCAUCUCUCCAAGGUCAAACACAGCAAGUUCAAUGAGUCAGGGCAGCUGGUUGCCUUCCACCUAACCUCUGUCAUCUGGUGCUUGUACGUCGUGGUGACGGAAGGAUACAUUUCAAACCCCCGGAGUCUGUGGGAAAACUACCCGCAUGUUUAUCUGCCGUACCAGGUGAAGUUUUUCUACCUGUGCCAGUUGGCAUACUGGCUGCACGCCCUGCCUGAGCUCUACUUCCAAAAAGUCCGCAAGGAGGAGAUCCCCCGGCAGCUGCGCUGCAUCUCACUCUACCUGCUGCACAUCGCCGGUGCCUACCUGCUCAACUUAACCCGCUUGGGGCUGAUCCUCUUGCUGUUGCAGUACUUGGCCGAGUUCUUCUUCCACAUGGCGCGGCUGGUUUACUUCACGGACGAGAACAACGAGAAGCUGUUUAACGUCUGGGCCGUCGUGUUUGUGGUCACCAGGCUCUUCACCCUCACCUUGUACAUCCUGGUCAUCGGCUUCGGGCUGCCACGUGUGGAGAGCCAGGCCCUGGACCCUGAGAGAGGAAACUUCUUCAGCUUCCUCUUCAACAACAUUCUCUUCAGAAUGAGUGUGCUGCUGUUGGUGUGCCUCUUCCAGGCCUCGGUGAUGUGGCGCUUCAUCCACUUCCAGCUGCGGCGCUGGAGGGAGUACUGGAACGAGCAGAGCAGUCGGAAGCGAGCCGCCGCCCCUGCUGGCACCAAGCAGCAAACCAAGCUGCUCAAGAGGGACUCGGGUUACCAUGAGAACGGAGUGGUGAAAGCAGAGAACGGAACCUCACCUCGCACCAAGAAGCUCAAGUCUCCAUAGAAGCCAAGGGUUGUCUCCUGGGGAGGAGGGCGAGAUACCAGGAUUGAGCAGCCCCUCCUCCUGCUCCUCACGAGUGGCAUCUUGAAAGGCUCGGAAUCAUCUUCCCAAGCAUGUUCCUCCCCUCUCUUCAUGGUGCUUCCCUGAGCCCCUGGGACAGGGCCACGACAGCUUGAAGGCACCAAAUGUGUGUUAUGGGAUCAGAUUCCUGGGGGAAUGUGCUGGGGCUGUGAGAUCUGAGGCUCAGGGGUGCUCUCAGGUGAGAUGGGGCACAUCUGGCCAGCGCUCAGCAGGAUGGUGGUGCUGCAAAGAGACCAGGGUCUGAUGGAGGAAGCUCAACCCUGUCUUGUCUCCUGGUGGACCUCCAGUUAACUGGGGUUUUCUGAACCCUGCUUUUGAGAAUUUUGGAGAGCUGGGCAGCAGAGAAUGGAGAGAACUUUCCUCUUCAUAUGGAAGGUCCACCUCACAGCCUUUGCUCGCCCCAGCUGGGUUUCUCUUGGUUGUCCAUAGUUAUUCUGGGCCUCCCAGCCCCAAGAGCUGGGCCCAGGGCUCUGCAGCUCUCAGUGUUUUGUUAUGGGGCAGCAGCAUCCUCAGUUCCACGUGAAUCCUUGAGGCCUGCCCCGCUCUGAGCGCUGGCCUGGCUCCUGUCAGCCCAGGCCCUUUGCCAGCUUGUCUGUGCCUCAUGGAUCUGGUGUUCUUGUUGCUUGUGACCACAUCCAGGUGACAAACUGAUUGCUGCAAAGGGUUUUUGCAUCAGUGGGACUGUGCCCCUCAUGCUGUCACCUCAGCCUUCCUCAUCCCUACCACACCAGUCCAGCCGUGCCAUCGGCAGCCAUCAGCUUCACUCUUUGUUUCCAAAGGAUACAGCGCUUGUAUCCACCCAAGGUGCUAUCAAAUCCAGGGUUUCUUCCAAAAAUCCUAGCCCCUCCAUCCCUUUCUGAGCUGUGAAUGAGAUGACAGGGAGGGAAGGGGAAGGAGGCCGGGGCUGCAAGGAGCAGCUUGAAUUUUAGGAAAAGCCUGGCUUGUGACAUGUAGCUGUUGGCAGAUGGAAUUGUCUCAAAUCUACCUCAGAGGCCAUCUGUUGCUGCAGACCACUUCCCCCUCUUGCUCCUGCCCGCUGCCACCUCCACGUGCUGGCAGGAAAGCCACAUCCCACCGGAUUGAUCUCUCGCUGACUCUGCUGGGGAGCAGCACCUGCGUGGGGUUUCUUGGGUCAGUGCCAUCUCACUGGGCUUCUUUUUGGGGUGCUGUGCCAGGCUGGGUUGGGCAGGUGAGCAGUAGUAGCACCUCUGUCCCCACACUGUCCUCUGGGGCAGUUCCUGAGCUGAGCUUUGCUGUUGGUGCCUCUUGUGCAGCGAAGUCGGCCGUAGCUUUAGUUCUGCUUUGCCACGGCAGGAGCAGGGGACUCGUGGUGUGUCCCCUUGGCUGGGUGAGGAGAAGGACACAGAGCUGGGGUGCUCUCCUUGUGCAGUCCAGGACUGAUCCUUGUCCUGCCCCUGGCUCAGCCCAUGGGGGCAGCUGAACUCCAGCUCUCUCCAAGUGCAAUUCCAGCUUGAGGCUGUGCUGUUGUCCUUCGCACCAGUCGUGUUUUGAGGAACAGGUGACGGUUGAUUUUCUGCCCCUCUUUGAGUUGAGUUGGGUUUUUUCCCUUUUAUUUGGGUGUCUUUUGUCCUUUCCUCCCCUCUCCUUGUUGAGGAGGCACUGGAGGGAGAAAACAUGCAGGGCCAUGAGGACAGUUAGUCAAAUUCCUCUUGUUCCUCAAUCCCCACAACAUUUGAGAGAUACUGGCAGAAGAGGGCUUUCCCUGUUUUCAGGGGAGCUGGGGAAGGAGGCUGGAGCAGAGCCCUUGGUGGUACCUUGCCAUCGCUCCUUGUAGCCUGUGCUGAGAGAACAAGACACCUUUUAGCUCAGAGGCAGCGACAGGACCCACAGUGCAGUGUGAUCAGGGGGAGAAGAGCUUUAUGUUGGGGAGGAGGUGGAAAAGGUGUAGUGUGAAAGGUUUUUCCUUUCUCCUGUCUCUUCCCAUCCUUUGCCAUCUGCUGCCAGUGCCCUCCAGGAGAGACUGCUGGCUGACACCUCCCCAGAGCCUCGGGCCUUUCCGCAGCGCCGGUGCCUCGCAGCAGCCGAGCUGCUGACUCUGUUAGCAGGUGACACAUAGAGCCUCCCAAAAACACAGCUGCUGAAUGAUUCCUCCUCCUGCCUGCUUGGCUUCAGGCAGCUUUUCCACUUGCACAAUCCUGUCUCUUCACACAGUAGCUGGUGAUGCUUUGUAUCCCAAGUGCCUUAUGUUGUAGCGUCUCUGCGAACUGUGGCAGUAGCUGAACACCCUCCUCUGUUACUACUUCUCUACAACAUACGCUACAUUUAUGUGUUUUUUGUUUUCUUUUUGAUAGAGCUAUCAGGAAAAGGGACAUUUGUUUUUGAAGCAUUUCUUUUUAUGAUUUUGGUUUAUUAAACCUGUAAGAUGAUGAGGCUGUUCAUUUUUUUUUUUCCUUUUUUGCCCUCCCCUAUAUUUAGUCCUCAGAAAUCUCCAUCUUUGUGUUAUACCCAAACCUGUCAGGUUGGUUAUUUUUGAGCUGAACCUUUGUUGUGAGGUGAUAUCCACUGUCAUCAUGGAGGUUUGCAAUCCCCUCUCCAUCAGAGGGUCUGCCAUGGGCUGCUCCUAAUUCUGUGUUGUUGUGCAAGCACAAUCCCUGGGCUGCAAGCCCGCAGUAACUGCUCCUGUGUCCGUGUCAUUUCUCAGCAGAUCCAGCCUUCCUUUCAGCCCAAAGAACUUUUUCUUGGAGCAUUUUCAUUGCAAGCCCUUAGUGGUCAGUCUGUCCUUGGCUGCUCUGUCUAUGAAAUGCCACAAGCUCGCUUCCCUUUAGUGGGUGCUCUUCUUAUGCCCCAUCUUGUCAAGCCUUGUGUCAUCUGCAGAAAACACCAUGGAAUUGUUGGGUGAGGUUGGAAAAUGCCUCCAAACUCAUCAAAAUCAAAAACCUUUUAAUCUAACACCAAGAUCCAGCCCUGAACAGGAGCUAUUGUCCACCACAAUGCUGAAGGUGAUGGAGAUUAUCCAAAACUUCCAGUGGGACAUGAUUCCUUGCACCUCUCCUGUGGGUUUGAGGCUGCUUUAGUAGUCUGUGUCCAUUAUCCAACCUGAGGAGGUCAGGAAUUGAGUAGCCUGUGGUUUUUGGGGUGAAGUGUAGUGUUUUCCUGUCCUAGCCUAGAAGAGCUGUGAAAUACCAGCACUAGUUCUCUCUUCUUGUCUUAGGUAGUUGGAGAAUGGGCUUGGGAAGAGAAAGGGGUAGAGGAAGAACACAUGUAGCAUUUCACACACAGUUUUUGAGUGACUCUAACAUUAUGGGGCAUUACAGUCACAUUUUGUCUUGUUGUUGUUGUUUAUGAUUCUUCUUACUUGUCAUGUUUGGAUUAGUAGUAGCCAAGUUCCAGUUCCCCUGUAGGUCCCCUUACCUUCAAUUCAGUGUUUUAAAAGGUUUUUUUGGUAGCCUUCCUGGUUGGCAGGAAGAGUGGCCACUCUGGGAUGUCUUUUCCUUGCCUCCAAGUGACUCUGGGAGCUUGGAGCCACCCUGCCUUUGCAGCAGUGCCUGGGGGUUUACAGCAGCCUCAGGCUCUUGCCUUUGGUAGAUGGACCCCAGAUUGUGCCAACAGUGGAUGGAGAUGAUGGGGUUUGAUUUACAGCCUUCCAGGAAACUUCAUGGGGGAUGAAAGGUUGGUUUAGUAGGUUUUAUGCCCAGCAGUGAAGUAUGUUCCUCCUCCUUGGAGCUGUGUGUGAGGUUUUUCUAGGAAGAAUGGCUGUUGGAAAAGCCAGGCAGAGGUGUGUGGUUUUUCCUCAAAAAUGUUGAACUCAACUUAUCAAACUUCAGUAAAGGAACUUGAGGAAAAUUCUUGUUCUUCCAUAUUUAUGCUUUAGUGCAAAUUUCCUGAUUUUGGAGGGGGUGGGGGGAAUUAACAGUCUCUGCUAUUUUAUCCCGUUUGUUUCAUUCUUCCUCUCACUUCAGUUUUUUGUACGGAUUUUGUUUGUUGAUGUUCAUUGUUCAAUGACUUUUGUGAUAAACUUGGCAGAAGUAUUUUUCUGAAAUAAAUAAAUAAAAGGCAUAGAUUCUUCCA